GCUGGUGUGGCGCAACGGCAGCGCAACUGAUUUGUAAUCAGUAGGUUAGGGGUUCAAAUCCCCUCACCAGCUCCA
rnacentral:tRNA from 1 species